rnacentral:lncRNA from 1 species
CUCUGGAGUCACACUAGACAUUGUUUUGAAUCCCAGCUCCAUCUCUGGGUCUCAGUUUCCUCAUGUGUAAAAUACGAUUAAUAAUCAUAUCACCUCCAAGUCUUGUUUGUUACUAAGCUUUAUAUAAACCGCCUAAAAAUACUUGGCACAUAGGUUCUUGAUGAAUAGCAUCAAGUACAUUGAACAUCAAAUAUAUUGAACAUUUACUGUAUUAUGGUCUCUGUGUGCUGAGUAAAAUCUGUCUUGCUAAACUCAGAUUUUGAUUUUAUCUAACCUUUUGUAACUUGCAUAAAUUUCCUUCCUCCCUCCCGCCGAUGUUUGUUAAGCACCUAUCAGGU